ensembl:lncRNA
AAAAACUAUCCACAUAAGCCCUUGGUUGUACAUUUUAUUUUAUGACUGAUGACAACCAUACCCAAGAGAUUUCAGCACAUAGGCUCUUGUUCCCAACAAACCUAGAGGCAAACCAAAUGAGACAGAGCAAUUCAAAAAUGUGGCAUUUUAACAAACUGGACCUGCUUCUCUGCUGUCAAAGAAACCCGCAUAAGCAUAAAUGCUUCUGGAAAAAAAGCACUUGAAUUUCACACAAUUUAAGGAUUUGAAGAGAUGCUAUUUUACAUUCGCCCUCCCAGCUGCUAGAGUACCUGCCAGGUUCGUGUUGGGAGCCAUGUUUGGCAGUGAGGCACUGGCACAGGUUGCCCAGAACAGCUGUGGAUGCCCCAUUCCUGAAGGAUGAGAACUGUUCGUUCUAUUUUGUGAUAUUAUCUCAUUUCACUGCAUUAUUCAUUGUUCUAGACCAUGAGCCACAUGUGAACCCUAAUUUAAAAAGACUAAAGCAAUAUGAAACUUAAAACUCUGGUGUGAAUACAUCUUAGAGCUGCCCACUCAUGACAGCA